rnacentral:tRNA from 1 species
AUAAUAUUAAGAUAAUAAUUCUAUUAACCUUCAAAGUUAAAAAUUCUAUCUUAUG